rnacentral:lncRNA from 1 species
AUUUAACUCCACUUGUGAGAUUUUUCUUACGAAUUUGUUACAGUGCUGUUGAGGGGAUUUCAAGCCUUUCGUCCUCUAAUCAGGCCCGGAGUAGGUUCUGCUGUCAAGACCUUUAGCUCGUGACAUUUUAUAUGCAUUUUUUAGUUUGUCAUGGGCAAUAUUACACUAAAUAUGAAUGUUAAAUUCAAAGUGGGAAGUUGGUAGAAAAUUUCAAGAGACUUUUUUGACAAGUGGUAGAAUAUAGAACUAGCAGGUCUAAAAUCUGCAAUUAGAAAAAAAAAAUUAGCCUUGAUUCUUCUGGCUAAACUCUGGUUGUAGAAGAAUUUGAAUAAUACACAAAGUGCUGUGGUUUAUUUGGUAGCUGGAUGUAGAACAUUAUAGAUCAUUUAUUUAUUUAUUUAUUUAUUUUGGAAUGUUUUGUAUUGAAGCCCAAUAAAACUUGAAUGUGUGUC